rnacentral:rRNA from 1 species
UACGUAGGUGGCAAGCGUUGUCCGGAAUUACUGGGUGUAAAGCGCGUGUAGGCGGGAGGCCAAGUCUGCUGUGAAAUCGCUCGGCUCAACUGGGCGGGGUCGGUGGAAACUGGUCACCUGGAGGUCGGUAGAGGCAAGUGGAAUUCCGGGUGUAGUGGUGGAAUGCGUAGAGAUCCGGAGGAACACCAGCGGCGAAGGCGGCAUCCUGGACUGGUACUGACGCUCAUGAGCGAAAAGCGUGGGGAGCGAGUCCG